UACGUAGGGUGCAAGCGUUGUCCGGAAUUAUUGGGCGUAAAGAGCUCGUAGGCGGUCAGUCGCGUCUGCUGUGAAAACUCGGGGCUUAACUCCGGGCCUGCAGUGGGUACGGGCUGACUAGAGUGCGGUAGGGGAGACUGGAAUUCCUGGUGUAGCGGUGAAAUGCGCAGAUAUCAGGAGGAACACCGGUGGCGAAGGCGGGUCUCUGGGCCGAUACUGACACUGAGAAGCGAAAGCGUGGGGAGCGAACAGG
rnacentral:rRNA from 1 species